UGGGGAAUAUUGGACAAUGGGCGAAAGCCUGAUCCAGCCAUGCCGCGUGAGUGACGAAGGCCUUAGGGUUGUAAAACUCUUUCGUCGGGGACGAUAAUGACGGUACCCGAAGAAGAAGCUCCGGCUAACUUCGUGCCAGCAGCCGCGGUAAUACGAAGGGGGCUAGCGUUGUUCGGAUUUACUGGGCGUAAAGCGCGUGUAGGCGGAUUUGUAAGUUGGGGGUGAAAUCCCGAGGCUCAACCUCGGAACUGCCUCCAAAACUACAAGUCUGGACCUAAGUAGAGGCAAGUGGAAUUGCGAGUGUAGAGGCGAAAUUCGUAGAUAUUCGCAGGAACACCAGUGGCGAAGGCGACUUGCUGGACUUAUGGUGACGCUGAGACGCGAAAGCGUGGGGAGCAAACAGGAUUAGAUACCCAAGUAGUCCCUGAGCGGGCUGGCAAGGCGCAU
rnacentral:rRNA from 1 species